CACGUAGGCACCAAGCAUUGUCCGGAUUUAUUGGGCGUAAAGAGCUCGUAGGCGGUUCGAUAAGUCGGGUGUGAAAACUUUGGGCUUAACCCAAAGCGUGCAUUCGAUACUGUUGUGACUAGAGUUCGGUAGGGGAGUGGGGAAUUCCUAGUGUAGCGGUGAAAUGCGCAGAUAUUAGGAGGAACACCGGUGGCGAAGGCAGUUCUCUGGGCCGUAACUGACGCUGAGGAGCGAAAGCGUGGGGAGCGAACAGG
rnacentral:rRNA from 1 species